rnacentral:rRNA from 1 species
CCUACGGGGGGCAGCAGUGGGGAAUAUUGCACAAUGGGGGAAACCCUGAUGCAGCGACGCCGCGUGAGUGAAGAAGUAAUUCGUUAUGUAAAGCUCUAUCAGCAGGGAAGAAAAUGACGGUACCUGAGUAAGAAGCCCCGGCUCACUACGUGCCAGCAGCCGCGGUAAUACGUAGGGGGCAAGCGUUAGCCGGGAUUACUGGGUGUAAAGGGAGCGUAGACUGCAGUGCAAGUCUGGGGUGAAAGGCGGGGGUUCAACCCCCGGACUGCUCUGGAAACUGUACGGCUGGAGUGCGGGAGAGGUAAGUGGAAUUCCUAGUGUAGCGGUGAAAUGCGUAGAUAUUAGGAGGAACACCAGAGGCGAAGGCGGCUUACUGGACUGUAACUGACGUUGAGGCUCGAAAGCGUGGGGAGCAAACAGGAUUAGAUACCCCUGUAGUC